AGUGAACGCUGGCGGUAGGCCUAACACAUGCAAGUCGAACGGCAGCACAGUAAGAGCUUGCUCUUACGGGUGGCGAGUGGCGGACGGGUGAGGAAUACAUCGGAAUCUACUUUUUCGUGGGGGAUAACGUAGGGAAACUUACGCCAAUACCGCAUACGACCUACGGGUGAAAGCAGGGGAUCUUCGGACCUUGCGCGAUUGAAUGAGCCGAUGUCGGAUUAGCUAGUUGGCGGGGUAAAGGCCCACCAAGGCGACGAUCCGUAGCUGGUCUGAGAGGAUGAUCAGCCACACUGGAACUGAGACACGGUCCAGACUCCUACGGGAGGCAGCAGUGGGGAAUAUUGGACAAUGGGCGCAAGCCUGAUCCAGCCAUACCGCGUGUGUGAAGAAGGCCUUCGGGUUGUAAAGCCCUUUUGUUGGGAAAGAAAAGCAGCAAGUUAAUACCCCGCUGUUCUGACGGUACCCAAAGAAUAAGCACCGGCUAACUUCGUG
rnacentral:rRNA from 1 species